rnacentral:rRNA from 1 species
UUUACUAUGGAGAGUUUGAUCCUGGCUCAGGAUGAACGCUAGCGGCAGGCCUAAUACAUGCAAGUCGGACGGGAUUCGGGACUUCGG